rnacentral:rRNA from 1 species
UACGGAGGGAGCUAGCGUUGUUCGGAAUUACUGGGCGUAAAGCGCACGUAGGCGGCUAUUCAAGUCGGGGGUGAAAGCCCGGGGCUCAACCCCGGAACUGCCCUCGAAACUAGAUAGCUAGAAUCUUGGAGAGGCGAGUGGAAUUCCGAGUGUAGAGGUGAAAUUCGUAGAUAUUGGGAAGAACACCGGUGGCGAAGGCGGCGCUCUGGACCGAGACUGACGCUGAGGCGCGAAAGCGUGGGGAGCAAACAGG